ensembl:rRNA 5S_rRNA 5S ribosomal RNA
GUCUACGGCCAUACCAUCCUGAAAGUGCCCGAUCUCGUCUGAUCUCGGAAGCUAAACAGGGGAGAGCCUGGUUAGUACCUGGAUGGGAGACCGCCUGGGAAUACCAGGUGUUGCAGGCU